rnacentral:rRNA from 1 species
AGCGAACGCUGGCGGCAGGCUUAACACAUGCAAGUCGAACGGGCGUAGCAAUACGUCAGUGGCAGACGGGUGAGUAACGCGUGGGAACGUACCUUUUGGUUCGGAACAACUGAGGGAAACUUCAGCUAAUACCGGAUAAGCCCUUACGGGGAAAGAUUUAUCGCCGAAAGAUCGGCCCGCGUCUGAUUAGCUAGUUGGUGAGGUAAUGGCUCACCAAGGCGACGAUCAGUAGCUGGUCUGAGAGGAUGAUCAGCCACAUUGGGACUGAGACACGGCCCAAACUCCUACGGGAGGCAGCAGUGGGAAUAUUGGACAAUGGGGGAAACCCUGAUCCAGCCAUGCCGCGUGAGUGAUGAAGGCCCUAGGGUUGUAAAGCUCUCUUGUGCGGGAAGAUAAUGACGGUACCGCAAGAAUAAGCCCCGGCUAACUUCGUGCCAGCAGCCGCAGU